rnacentral:sRNA from 1 species
AAUUUGCGUUAGGGAUUGAAGUGGAAAUCCUUUUUAUGCUGAACUUGUUUCAGCUUAAAAAGAUUGAAACAAAAAGCCCGACCUUUA